CCUUAUAUUUUGUUUUCUUUCGUUUAACACCCCGUUUAAUCUUAGAUUUCUUUCUAAUUUACCAAACUUUAAAACUACCGCUCAAGUUGCUCACUAGUCCACCCACUGGCUUGUUACGGAUCUGGAUAUCCGGGAUUUUUGGGCAAUAUCCGGAACCCGGAUAUCCACUAAAAUCACCGGGUAUCCGCGGAUAUCCAGAUCAGGUCCAAUUUUUUUUUUUUUUUGGAUUCCAACGAUUGUACUCCAAAUAAAUCUUUCCCAACGUCAAUCAACACAGUUGCUGCCUCUUUGCUCCAAUAAACCUCCCUCUGCCGCUGCUAUUUUAUCCUCCACCGCUAGCAACGCCCGAAACAAUAUGUCUGGAUCCUUUUGCGUCGAAGAAUCUGGAGGUGUCAGACAAUAAGAGCCGUAGAUGUCGAAGCCACUGUUACCUUAAUUCGUUCCAGUGGCGGCAAAGAAGACGGAUCGGGUGAAUCAGAAAUGUCAUAUUGCUAGAUCUAGGUUAGAAGUCGUAAAAGUAAAAGAUAAGAGUUAGGUGAAGACGUGGACUGAAAAUUGGGCUGGGUUUUGUUUAAUUAAUUUGUUUGUUUGGCAUUGGGCAGGGUUUUGUUUAUUUUUAAUGGGUUUAAUAAAAUAAUUAGAAAUUACUUUAUGUUAUAUAACCGGAUCCGGAUAUCCGGUUCGAAAAUUUUGUAUUAUCCGGAUCCGGAUCCAGCGGAUCCGAGAAUAUACUAUCUGGAUCCGGAUCUGGACCAACCGGAU
rnacentral:lncRNA from 1 species